GUGAGCGUAGCUCAAUUGGCAGAGCACCAGACUGUGGAUCUGGUAGUUGGGGGUUCAAGUCCCCUCGCUCACC
rnacentral:tRNA from 1 species